rnacentral:rRNA from 1 species
GACGAACGCUGGCGGCGUGCUUAACACAUGCAAGUCGAACGGAAAGGCCCUGCUUUUGUGGGGUGCUCGAGUGGCGAACGGGUGAGUAACACGUGAGUAACCUGCCCUUGACUUUGGGAUAACUUCAGGAAACUGGGGCUAAUACCGGAUAGGAGCUCCUGCUGCAUGGUGGGGGUUGGAAAGUUUCGGCGGUUGGGGAUGGACUCGCGGCUUAUCAGCUUGUUGGUGGGGUAGUGGCUUACCAAGGCUUUGACGGGUAGCCGGCCUGAGAGGGUGACCGGCCACAUUGGGACUGAGAUACGGCCCAGACUCCUACGGGAGGCAGCAGUGGGGAAUAUUGCACAAUGGGCGGAAGCCUGAUGCCGCAACGCCGCGUGCGGGAUGACGGCCUUCGGGUUGUAAACCGCUUUCGCCUGUGACGAAGCGUGAGUGGCGGUAAUGGGUAAAGAAGCACCGGCUAACUACGUG